AACGAACGCUGGCGGCAGGCUUAACACAUGCAAGUCGAACGCAUCCUUCGGGGUGAGUGGCAGACGGGUGAGUAACGCGUGGGAACGUGCCCUUCAGUUCGGGAUAACCCAGGGAAACUUGGGCUAAUACCGGAUACGUGCGAGAGCAGAAAGAUUUAUCGCUGAAGGAUCGGCCCGCGUCUGAUUAGCUAGUUGGUGGGGUAAUGGCCCACCAAGGCGACGAUCAGUAGCUGGUCUGAGAGGAUGAUCAGCCACAUUGGGACUGAGACACGGCCCAAACUCCUACGGGAGGCGGCAGUGGGGAAUAUUGGACAAUGGGCGCAAGCCUGAUCCAGCCAUGCCGCGUGAGUGAUGAAGGCCUUAGGGUUGUGAAGCUCUUUCGUCCGGGACGAUAAUGACGGUACCGGAGGAAGAAGCCCCGGCUAACUUCGUGCCAGCCGCCGCCGUAA
rnacentral:rRNA from 1 species